GGAACUCCUCUGCCUCACAGAGCACCCCAAUUCAUCUGCCUCACACAGCGCCGCCUGCCUGAGCCCCCGCCGCCCGCUCAGAGCGCCGCCGCCCGCCCCAACUCCUCGCGCGCGCUACCCUGACCGCUCGUGCGCUCGCUCCCCCCUCAGCUCCUCGCACGCGCGCCGCCGCCGGCUGCUGCUCGCGUGUGCCUGCCCCCUCCACCCAUGGGCGGAUCUAGCUCGUCCACCUCGGGGCCGACCGCCGCACGGGAGGGGCGCUGGGCAGGGCAAGCUGCAGGCGGCCAGGCAGAUCUGGGCGGCACACGGGUGGCGCGGUCAUCCCACUCGCUCCAUCACUUCGACGCCUCCCCGCGGAUCCCACCUCUUCGACGGACCGCCGCUCCCUCCACACCAGCACCGACCCCGCGAUCCUUCACUACACCAACUCCGUCUCCAGGCUCCCCGUCGCGCCACCUUCCCCACGCGGGUGUCCCCGGAGCACCCCCCGCCCCCCCCCCCCCCCCCCCACCCCCCCAGGUCUGAACUUGAUUUGAUGGGUUCAGAUUUAUUUUCCUCCUUGUUUGCGUGUGUAGGUCGAGGCUUGCUGGCAAUGGUGUAGGCGGUGCCCUCCAACGACCUCAACGUGCAGCUAUUCUCUCGUAAAAGCUGCAAUCCGUCGAUGACAUUCAGAUAAGAUGGGGCCAAUGGGCAAGGCGUCAAUUUCAUCUGUCUACUGGUGCAAAUGCUAGAACUAUGCACAAGGGACCAUCAGAUCAUCUUGUUCUUAAUAUUUGCUCAGAGUCUGAAUUUGAACGAGUAAUUGCUGCACAGGAUUCAGAUGACAAAGGUUGCUAACACAAAGGAGUACAUUGAUGGGCAAUUAUUUGGGAACCUGGGAGAGAUUUUGAUUGGUUAGCCUUUUUUUUUAUCCUUUGCUUCGAGCAUGUGCGAAGUAGUGUUGCCAUGUAAAUCUAGGUAACCUAGAUGCUAUCAUCCUUUGACUUUUGAUAUUGUUAUGAAACCAGCUUGCUAACAAGUUAUGAAAUUUCUUAAUGGUUUUAUUGCUUUAUUUCUAUUAAAGCAGUACAGUUAACACAAAUAAAUAAAGUGAUCUGAAGAGUAAUAUUUCUAUUAAAGUAGUUAUUGUUCACUGAAUUUCAGUUUGUAAUAUGCAUGCUUUGACUUAAGUCGAAAGUUCUUUUCAUUUCAAAACUAGAUAUAGACACCAGAGUGAAUUGGUGAUUCCAUUAUUACUAGUUCUUUUCGGUUAGGGAGGUUUGUGUUGUAAACCUCUAGUAUAGAUACCAUUUAUAAUGGAGGAUACCAUUUAUAAUGGAGGUUCGUGUUGCAAACCUCCACUACAGAUACCUUUUGUAAUGGAGGUUCGUGGUGCAAACCUCGGGUAUAGGUACCAUUUGUAAUGGAGGUUCAUGGUGCAAACCCCCGGUAUAGAUCAUUUGUAAUGGAGGUUCUUUACAACAACCGCCAGCAAAAAUGAGUUAACACCAGCAGUUAUGGAACCGACGGUAAAAAUCGCUAUUUCUACAGUCACUUGAGUAGUGGCGGUUUGAAAACCUCCACUAAAAAUCGUAUAGAACCGCCAGUAAUUAUAGGUUUUGUAGUAGUGGCUGCAGGUGGCGCAUUCCUAUUGGGAACAAAAUCUUCUUCGCCCACCAUGUAAGGAACAUGGCCCCAUUAGACCAUUGUUUGUGAUUUUGGUGAUUGUGUGAUAACAUAAUCAAUGGAACUAAUAAGUUUGUCAAGUGAAUCAUAUUAGAUCCCAAGGAUGAAUACAAAGCCCUAGCAAAACAAGAAUCAAAGAAAGAACUCAAAGAAAUGCUGAAUUGGUUGAAGUUUCACAUGAAAUAGUAGCACCGGUUAAACUGAUGUAUAAAAUUAGUGCCUAAAAAUGGAUCUAAUGACAUGGAAUUCUGAAUAUCCUUGUAGAUAUUUACAUAAGCUUUCCAUAGAGUCCAAGAUCAUCAAAAUCAGAGUUCGGAGGAAAAAGUUAUGACCAAAACAUGAGAAAACUGAUUUCUGUGUGGCACCGGUUACACCGGUGCUCAAACUUUGGUCAAAUGAGUUGAUCUUCAGCAGAAUCUUGUAGAGUAUUUCACAAGCUUUCCAUAUAGUACAAGAUCAUCGAAAUCGGAGUUCGGAGUAAAGAGUUAUGACCAAAAUACGAAGUACUAUGAAAGCUGAUUUCUGGAAGCACCGGUUCAUUCGAUGAUCACCGGUUACACCGGUGCUCAAACUUUGGUCAAAUGAGAUGAUCUUCAGCAGAAUUUUAUAGAGAAUUUCACAAGCUUUCCAUAGAGUACAAGAUCAUCGAAAUCGGAGUUCGGAGUAAAGAGUUAUGAGCAAAAUACGAAGCACUGUGAAGCUGAUUCCUUUAGCACCGGAUAGACCGGUGCUAACAAAAAAAAGCAUCGGUGCAAUAACCCUACUAUUGACCAGAGAGCAUGUUUUUUGGUCCAGAAUGUUCCUUUAGCACCGGAUAGACCGACACUAUCACCGGAUACACCGGUGGUACCAUAUUUCAGCUGCAGAACUUGUCAGAAAGGGCUAACGGCUAGUUCAAGCUAUUAGUGAUCGGUUAGACCGGUGACUAGGCACCGGUUAGACCGGUGCUUACGCAGAAAUGCCUCCAACGGCAACAAACGUCUACUUCAAGUUUGUGGGCUAUAUAUAUGCUUCCCCCGGCCAUUUUGGAGUUGCUGGAGUUCUUAGAAGUCACAUUCACACCCAAGAACACCUCCAAGCCAUCCAAGAGCAUAGUGAUCAAAUCUUUAGUCCUUAGCACAACUUUGUGAGUGUGUGCUAGGUUAGCUCUUAAGUGAGUGAGAGAGCAAGGUGUCGUGCCUUGUGCUGUGGUUCUAGAGUGAACCAAUCUUGUAUCUCGGUGCGCCGGCCCCUUGGAGCAUUGGUGGCUCGCCGGCACGUCAACGAUCCUCCGACUUAGUGUGGAGCGGCGUCAACAUCCUUGUGCGGGGGACGUGGAGACCCCACCCUUCUUAGUGAAGCUUCUUAGUGGAAAUCGGUAUCAAGGUGACCGCGGUGACUUGGUGUCCCCGGGAGAGACUUGAUUGUCGAGAAGCAAUACUCUUUGUGAGUGUUUCAACAACGUGGAUGUAGGUGUGCCUUUGUGGCUAACCGAACCACGGGAUAAAUCCUCAUGUCAAAUAGUUUGCUUCCUCUCAUCCUUUCUUUAGGCUUUCGCAUUUAAGUAUUGCAAUCUUUGUGCCUUUAGUUUCAUAGAGUGGUUUCUUGAUAGGAUUGGCUAUAUAUUGCUAAACUCUUUUGGGAUGAGAGUUUCACACUAGAAGAACUGUAGUUGCACAUUUAGAUAGCACGUUUUAGUUUAAGUUUUGUGCAAAUUAGUUGGAGCCAUAGGUUAAGGUUUUAAGUUGCAUAAUUCACCUCCUCCCUCUCUUAAGUUAGAGCACCCGAUUACUUUCACACCACAUCUGCAAAAGGAGACCAAUGUUAAAAUUGCAAACUAUAUAAUUGGUAUGGAAUUAGAGAACACCGCUCUGCCCGGUACUCUGACGAUCUCGUGCCGAGGUGGCCUUGAUAGCAUCUGCAGCGAUGGAUGAGAAACUUGAUCUGGAGCGGGAGGGUACCACGCAAAUCUGGGAGUAGCUGACGUGUGUUGUUGCAAAUUCGAACCCUGAUGAAUUGCAGCCGCGCCGCCACAAAACACCAUCAUCUAGGGACACAAUCGCAAUAGGGAAUCCCCGUACUUUGAUCCCAUCGCUGCCGCCAUGAUCGAGGACCUCCACUGCGCGAGCCGGAGGCAUUGUUCUCAAGGCGUCGCCUAGGCGCCUAGGCGUCCAUGCGCCAUCCACUGAUUUGCGCCUUGCUCGCCUAGGCGCCCGCCUUGCUCGCCUAGGCGUCCAGCCGCCCCACCUUGCUAGGCGUCCGCCUUACCGCCUUGAGAACAAUGGCCGGAGGGAGCGGGCUGCCACCGGGAAAUCCAACCACGAGCUCGCCGAAAGACCGACCGCCGUGGGGAAGAAUCAGGAGUGGUGUGAGGCGGUGGGUUUGUUGUCAACCUGGUUGGGCACCAUCGAGAUAUACAGUCUAGCCCUGCUAGCGGGGCGGGCUCAGAUGGGGAUUUUGGGGCGGGUUUUUGAAUGGGGAUCCGUUUGUGGGGUAGUAACGGGUUUAGAGGCCAACGGGUUGGGGCGGGGUGGGCUGCAUUUGUGGGUUGGGGCGGGGUGGGUGGGAAGAAAACAGAUCGGCCGCGUCCUGCUCCCGCAAGAAGGCGACACCGCCGCCGUCGCCGCUGCCGGCCACCGUCGCCGCCGCACCGCUCCUCCUCCGACGUCCACAGAUCGAGAUGCCAAGAUCUGUGGGGGAGGUGCUGUAGGCACGACGGGAUCGCCGGAUCUGUGGCCGCCGGCUUCGCCUUCUUCCAGGCUGCCACCGGAUCUGGGGAACCGAGAGGCCGGCCACCGUCUUCUUUCUCGGCCGCUCGGUGUGCUCUGUCUCUCCCUGUUUCGCUGCUGCUGCUGCUCUUAGCCGGGCCGGCCAGAGAGAGACGACCAGCGGAUCGCCUGGGGAAGAAAGAGGAGGUGAAGGUGGAGAUAGAGAUCGGAAGGGAUAAGGAGUGUUUCCCAUGGGGAACUGCUUAGGGGGCAGCUCCUACUCCUACGUCAACAAGGUCUCCUCCACUGCAAGGCCGGGCUCACAAUAUUCUGGAAGCUAAAGACUCAACCAGCAGCUCUAAGCCUGCAAGCUCUGGGUCAGUUCUGUUUUAAAUCAAUACAACCAAGGGUAUGCCAAGCUGCCGCCGACCGCGCCGACGGCCAAGCCGCCGCUGACCCGGAUUCAUCUGCACCAACAGAUCACAGAGUCACAGAGAAACAUCUCGAGUGUCCUGCAGGACCUUGUUCACACCUGAUACAGGAUUCAUGAGCGCCACACCUGCAGCAAGCAGUAGCCUACAAGCAGCUCUCUCAUACUGCGUUAAGCAAGUCUGCAGCUAUGACUACCACCACCUGCCCGCUGCCCCCAGCCAUGCGCAAGGCUGCAUUCACCUUUCGGGCCUUCAACGUCGAGACGGCAAAAGCCAUGGACGUUCUGAAACUAAUUUUGUUGCAGGAUUGAAUCUUUGGAGAUGAGUUGAGGAGCCCAUUGGAUAUCAUACAUCUUGUGCUUUCCAUUUGAUAAAAGAUAAAAGAUUGUAGCUUUCCUUUCCUAUUAGAACAGAAGGGCCAUGUACGGGCCAUGUACUGUGAUUAUUUGUGUUUGUAUGUAUCUGAAGGUUUAUGAUUUAAAUCGAUUGACCAAGUUCCUGUAAACUGUGAGAAUAUCAUGGAAAUAUACUGGCAUAUUUCAAGUCA